rnacentral:rRNA from 1 species
GACAGAGGGUGCAAACGUUGUUCGGAAUUACUGGGCGUAAAGCGCGUGUAGGCGGCGGGGCAAGUCGGAUGUGAAAUCCCAUGGCUCAACCAUGGAAGUGCACCCGAAACUGCCCAGCUAGAGUCUCGGAGAGGAAGGUGGAAUGCUUGGUGUAGAGGUGAAAUUCGUAGAUAUCAAGCGGAACACCGGUGGCGAAGGCGGCCUUCUGGACGAUGACUGACGCUGAGACGCGAAAGCGUGGGGAGCAAACAGG